UACGAAGGGGGCUAGCGUUGCUCGGAAUCACUGGGCGUAAAGCGCACGUAGGCGGCUUUCUAAGUCAGGGGUGAAAUCCUGGAGCUCAACUCCAGAACUGCCUUUGAUACUGGAGAGCUUGAGUCCGGGAGAGGUGAGUGGAACUCCGAGUGUAGAGGUGAAAUCCGUAGAUAUUCGGAAGAACACCAGUGGCGAAGGCGGCUCACUGGCCCGGUACUGACGCUGAUGUGCGAAAGCGUGGGGAGCAAACAGG
rnacentral:rRNA from 1 species